CAUUAUGCUCACUGCUGUGGCAGUUGUGGUGGCAGCAGUUACUGUUCUUGUCUGCAAGGACGUAAAAGAAAACCAGGACAGAAGAUGUGGUGAAUAUCUUACUGUGAUGGCAGAGAGAUUGUCCCGUGACUUGAGUGAUGUACCUUGUGCUUCCAACAACGGCGGGGAUGUCUUACCCCUACAUGAUUACGAGCGACUCCUGAGCGAACAGUUCCACAUCUACACGUCUCUCCACCCUUCAACUGCUUAACUGAGGACCACAGCACCAGGUGAAGCUAAAACUGACAUUACAGUUCCUCAUCUACGUCUCUCCACUCUUCAUCGUCCUCCAUCGAGGACCACAGUACCAGAUGAAGCCUAUACUGACGAUACUGUUCCUCAUCUACACGUCACUCCACCCUUCAUGGUCACCCACAGAUGUCUAAUUUGACGGGAACAGUUCUUCAUCUACACGUCUCUCAACCCUUCAUCGUCCCCCACAGAAGUCUAAUC